CUAAAAAGGGCGAUCGUUCCCAAUACAAGUAGUGCUACUCCUAUUGAGACAAAAAUAGAUUUUCUAAAACAAAAUAUUUAUUUGCUUCAGUCCAACAUCACUUGGGAUAUACGAUAAGGAGUCUGAAAUAUUUGUCAUCAUGAUAGCACCUUAAAUUAGUGAAUCUGAAAACGAUAAUGGUUUUGACAGGUUUACGAAUCGAUGGUCAGAGAAGCGUACAGGAAUGCAAAAGAAUGCUCAGCUGAAUGACGGGAUACCACAAUAUUAUUGUUGUAGUUUUUCCGUGUUUAAUAGAUGUCGUGUGUAUUGUUUAUUAUUUAAAAUUGAUCCCAACAGUUCUAAUUCUCUUUUUACAUACUAAUUAAAGUCUCUAAAAUUCGAAUGCUAUUGUCGUCUAAAAUGUUUUCAAACAAUAAAAUAAGGUAGUCAGAA